AGUGAACGCUGGCGGUAGGCCUAACACAUGCCAGUCGAACGGCAGCACAGUAAGAGCUUGCUCUUACGGGUGGCGAGUGGCGGACGGGUGAGGAAUACAUCGGAAUCUACUUUUCGUGGGGGAUAACGUAGGGAAACUUACGCUAAUACCGCAUACGACCUACGGGUGAAAGCAGGGGAUCUUCGGACCUUGCGCGAUUGAAUGAGCCGAUGUCGGAUUAGCUAGUUGGCGGGGUAAAGGCCCACCAAGGCGACGAUCCGUAGCUGGUCUGAGAGGAUGAUCAGCCACACUGGAACUGAGACACGGUCCAGACUCCUACGGGAGGCAGCAGUGGGGAAUAUUGGACAAUGGGCGCAAGCCUGAUCCAGCCAUACCGCGUGGGUGAAGAAGGCCUUCGGGUUGUAAAGCCCUUUUGUUGGGAAAGAAAAGCAGCAGGUUAAUACCCCGCUGUUCUGACGGUACCCAAAGAAUAAGCACCGGCUAACUUCGUG
rnacentral:rRNA from 1 species